CACAUCAGCUCUGCUGUAAAGUUUAUCAUGCUUAAAUAAAUGCUUAUUAUUAUUAUUAUUAAAGAGUCAUAAGGUGGCUGCCAGAUGCGCCCUUAGCUUUAAGACCCGUUAACACUUGCGAUUUCUAGUGCGAUUUCUUCUUCUGAUGGAUCUGAACGAGUAGAUGAAUAAUGAAUGUUCUGAGUAUAUGUACCCUCAUCUGUACAUUCAUAACCCAUCCACUCGUUCACAUCCAUCAGAAGAAGCAAAUCACACCUAAAAUCGCAAGUGUAAACACGGACCUUUGGGUAGCCUUCGACUCGAUCAGGUUGAGCUGUGUACUUCGCAAUUCAGCUGGUACCUCUCAGCUUGAAGUAGUAAGGACUCUCCCCCCACCUCCCCCCUACAUACGAAAUAACCCGUCAUUUUAGGUGGCAAAAAUGAUGGCCAGCACUCUGGAUAGCAGCGAAAUACCUGACGUGGAUUCGGCGGAGAGUGGCCGUUCCGAAUUCUCAUGCAAAAGUGGCAACGACCUUUUUGCCUUGACGGCUAGUAAUUUUUGCGCCACCUUUGUUCUUAAUUAGUUUUAAAUAUUUGCUGCCAAAAAAUGGCGGAAACCAAACAAUGGCUCAAGUGGCGUCACAUCACGUGUUGUGACGUCUGGUUUUGUCGUUUGACUCUCGGCAAUAUGCAGUUGCCUGAUCAUAAUUUCGCAUGUGAAAAGAGUGUUGCCAGUUUUACUCAACAUAGCACCGAACGUGUUCUUUGGUAUUAAUGCUUGGCUGAUAUUGACAUCUCUUGACCUUCCCAGUACAAAUAAAGUUAGUUUAGUUUUUCUCUGGACAAAUAAAAAAUAUUCGACAAAUUAUAAAUCAUUAUAAACAUGACUAUAAUCUCAGACAUAGAAACGGAAGAUUAAAAUACAUACCGUUUUCCGACACAGAAACAGUUUUAUCCCCCCAGUGAUGAGACAGAGACUGCACGAAACUUAAAUUAGCUUACAUGGACCUUUUAUAAUUUUUGAUGAAUUUAAUAUUUUAUAUAUCUAAUAUUUUACAAAAUUGU